GCUCCAACUACGUGAGAGCCAUUUGCAGUUCUCUCCAGACACCUGGAGAAUGGGCGACGUUUCUGAGGAUCCGGCGAGCGUGCUUCUAUCAAAACUCAGUCUGUGAAAUUUCUGGGGAAAACACUUCUGUGUCCUGAAGGGUUCAAACUCUGGUGAGGAUCCAGUUAUCAGGUGCUCACCUGGAUGGUUCCAGCUCCCAAAGGGAAAGGCUCUCGUAUCCUUGUCGUCGGGCUCGGUGCUGUCCAAGAAGAUACAGAGACUAAAAAAAUCAUAAGAAGCAAAAUAUGACUGCAGGGAAAAGAAGCUGGAGAGAACAGAAGACAUUGCUCCACUCCCCAGAGGAUUAUUGUGAGCAGAUGUGAGCUCUGCUGUCCCUUUGGACUGACAAAGACAGAGGUUUUGUCCCAAGUUGCUUUUGAACCUGUCCUGCACCCGUUACGAGUCCUCAGUCUCCUGCAAUUUUGUGGGUCAGUCACAUGUAAAACAGCACAGCUGGCUGGCAUGCUUUGCUCAUGAGGGGAGACAAGAGAAGAAUCCCUCUGCUCACACCAGACCUGCAGCUGCCAAACCUCACCAAAGCACCUGAGGAGCCCCCAGGGACUGAUGGUACAGAAGGGAGGUGAUGGAGGACAGCACAGCAGGCAGCCUGCCCUCCAUCUGGCUGUGAAGAAGGCAGGGCUGGGAACUGUCAGCAACAUCCCAGCAGGUCUGGCUGAUGGUGCCACCCUGAGGGCUUCCCCUGCCUUUGGGCAGUCCCAGCUGCUGCAGCUCACUUGACAGAGACUCAUUGUCUAUACUGUGCUUGGCUGCACUGGAGAUGAUGAAGCCGAGGACAGCAAUGGUUGCCUUCACAUCCCCUGACUGCAGAUGGGAAGGAGGGCGAGCUCUGUCACCUUGGGAAGGCCUCUGCAGAGUCACUGCUGCC